GAGGGUAUAGCUCAGUGGUAGAGAGCAUGCUUACCAUACAUGUGGUCAUGGGUUCAAUCCCCAGUACCUCCA
rnacentral:tRNA from 1 species